AAGUCGUAACAAGGUUUCCGUAGGUGAACCUGCGGAAGGAUCAUUACCUAGAGUUGCGGGCUUUGCCUGCCAUCUCUUACCCAUGUCUUUUGAGUACCUUCGUUUCCUCGGUGGGUUCGCCCGCCGAUUGGACAAAACUUAAACCCUUUGUAAUUGAAAUCAGCGUCUGAAAAAACUUAAUAGUUACAACUUUCAACAACGGAUCUCUUGGUUCUG
rnacentral:misc_RNA from 1 species